rnacentral:lncRNA from 1 species
GAAUCUUCAGCAGGGAAAGGAGGUGUUUCGUGGGUUUUCAUUUUUCCUGAAGAUGUUAACAGAGUAGCAUUGUUGCCCCUUAUUUUGGAAGUCAAACAUGCAAGUAUGUAUAUUUACCAAAAAAAAAAAAAAAGAGCCUAGGAUUCUUAAUUAUGCCAGAAUGGUUGAUGUAUUUUUUUUUUCUUUAACAUGACAGUUAAAGUCUGCUGCUUCUAUCCUUUCUCGUCAACAUAUGCUAAGCAAAGGAGUCCAUCUGCUGAGUUUUACGAUCCCCAGAGUGUUGCAUCCCUCAAGUACUUCAGAUUUGGCCAUUACCAACAGAGGCUGCCUUCAGCAUGAUUCCUGUCUGCGUGCAGUAUUUGAUGUCGAACUUGAAGAGCAAUUCUGCAUAUACAAUUCAAUGUUCUGUUCUGCACAUCUCGAGGUUCAUCCUCUCCUUAGAACUUUCAGCAACCUUUAUAACCAUAUACAGCACAUCCUGAUUCAAAUAUCAGGAUGGUACUGCAGAAUUACAGCAAUUCCUAACCUAUGGCUCUCAUCUGUUUUUGCAGAUUCCUGUCUGCUUGCAAUAUUCAGCAUCAAACUUCAAGAGCAUUAUUGCACAUAAAUUUA